rnacentral:tRNA from 1 species
GGAGAGAUGGCCGAGUCCGGUUGAAGGCGCGCGACUCGAAAUCGCGUAACGGUGAGAGCCGUUCGUGGGUUCGAAUCCCACUCUCUCCGCCA